GUAGUCUCGCACAGAUGCAUAUCAAUAAGCGGAGGAAAAGAAACUAACAAGGAUUCCCCUAGUAACGGCGAGUGAAGCGGGAAGAGCUCAAAUUUGAAAUCUUAAAGGGUUUCCCUUUACGAAUUGUAGUUUAAAGAAGUGUUUUCUGUUGAGGUUUUGGUAAAAGUUCUUUGGAAUAGGACAUCAUAGAGGGUGAGAAUCCCGUAUUUGACCUUUACUUUCAACUUUGUGAUACACCUUCAAAGAGUCGGAUUGUUUGGGAAUGCAGUCCAAAAUGGGUGGUAAAUUUCAUCUAAAGCUAAAUAUUGGCGAGAGACCGAUAGCGAACAAGUACCGUGAGGGAAAGAUGAAAAGAACUUUGAAAAGAGAGUUAAACAGUACGUGAAAUUGUCAAAAGGGAAGCGUUUGACACCAGUGUUGUUUUUCUGAAAAUCAAUUAAAGAACUGUUUAUGCUAAGUUGUUUAGACUUUAUCAGCUAACUGUUUAGUUUUGAGCUUUUCUUUAAUGCACUUUUCAGUUAACAAGUCAACAUCAAUUUCUUUUGCUGUAAAAAAGCUUGAGGAAGGUGGCUUGAGAUUCGUCUUAAGUGUUUAUAGCCUCUUGCCUAUGCAGUCGGAGAGAUUGAGGUCUGCAGCGUAGAUCCUUCGGGGCUAAAUGCAUUUGUGCUAAGUUAUAGCAUUUUAUAGACAACUUGUUGACUAUGAUUUGUCUUGUAGCUUACUCGCUUAUGUUAUUUUACCUACGCUUAGGAUGUUGAUCUGUAGUGCGUGCGC
rnacentral:rRNA from 1 species